rnacentral:misc_RNA from 1 species
UACGGAGGGUGCAAGCGUUAUCCGGAUUUAUUGGGUUUAAAGGGUGCGUAGGCGGGAUAUUAAGUCAGUGGUGAAAUCUUCCAGCUUAACUGGGAAACUGCCAUUGAUACUGAUAUUCUUGAGUUUGAUUGAAGUAGGCGGAAUGAGGCAUGUAGCGGUGAAAUGCAUAGAUAUGCCUCAGAACACCGAUCGCGAAGGCAGCUUACUAAGUCAAUACUGACGCUGAGGCACGAAAGCGUGGGGAGCAAACAGG